UACAGAGGGUGCAAGCGUUGUUCGGAAUUAUUGGGCGUAAAGGGCGCGUAGGCGGUGCGGUAAGUCUGUAGUGAAAUCUCUGGGCUCAACUCAGAGUCUGCUGCAGAAACUGCCGUGCUUGAGUGUGGGAGAGGUGAGUGGAAUUCCCGGUGUAGCGGUGAAAUGCGUAGAUAUCGGGAGGAACGCCUGUGGCGAAAGCGGCUCACUGGACCAUUACUGACGCUGAUGCACGAAAGCUAGGGGAGCAAACAGG
rnacentral:rRNA from 1 species